UCUCCGUAGGUGAACCUGCGGAGGGAUCAUUACUGAGCGAGGGUCUCCGGGCCCGACCUCCAACCCCAUGUGAACUGAAACCUGUUGCCUCGGGGGCGACCCGGCCCUCUGGGCGUCGGGGCCCCCGGUGGCUCACACCUCAACUCUUGCAUCUGUGCGUCUGAGUAACAUAUUGAAUCAAUCAAAACUUUCAACAACGGAUCUCUUGGUUCUGGCAUCGAUGAAGAACGCAGC
rnacentral:misc_RNA from 1 species